GACCGCGUGGCUCAGUUGGAGGAGCAUUGGGAUGGUAUUCCAAAGGUCGUAGGUUCGAAUCCCACCGUGGCCG